CCUACGGGAGACAGCAGUGGGGAAUAUUGCACAAUGGGCGAAAGCCUGAUGCAGCAACGCCGCGUGAGGGAAGAAGGCUUUCGGGUUGUAAAGUUCUAUCAUCAGGGAAGACAAUGACGGUACCUGACUAAGAAGCCCCGGCUAACUACGUGCCAGCAGCCGCGGUAAUACGUAGGGGGCUAGCGUUAUCCGGAUUUACUGGGGGUAAAGGGGGCGUAGGCGGGUUAGUAAGUCAGAAGUGAAAGGCCGGGGCCCAACCCGGGGACUGCUUUUGAAACUGUUGAACUUGAGUGCAGGAGAGGUGAGUGGAAUUCCUAGUGUAGCGGUGAAAUGCGUAGAUAUUAGGAGGAACACCAGUGGCGAAGGCGGCUGACUGGACUGUAAAUGACGCUGAGGCGCGAAAGCGUGGGGAGCAAACAGGAUUAGAUACCCCAGUAGUC
rnacentral:rRNA from 1 species